rnacentral:rRNA from 1 species
AGAGUUUGAUCAUGGCUCAGGACGAACGCUGGCGGCGUGCCUAACACAUGCAAGUCGAGCGGAGAUUGCAGCAAUGUAAUCUUAGCGGCGGACGGGUGAGUAACGCGUGGGCAACCUACCUUCAACUGGGGGAUAACACUGGGAAACUAGUGCUAAUACCGCAUAACAUCAUGAAGAGACAUCUCUUAAUGAUCAAAGGA